rnacentral:rRNA from 1 species
UACGAAGGGGGCUAGCGUUGCUCGGAAUCACUGGGCGUAAAGGGUGCGUAGGCGGGCCUUUAAGUCAGGGGUGAAAUCCUGGAGCUCAACUCCAGAACUGCCUUUGAUACUGAGGAUCUUGAGUUCGGGAGAGGUGAGUGGAACUGCGAGUGUAGAGGUGAAAUUCGUAGAUAUUCGCAAGAACACCAGUGGCGAAGGCGGCUCACUGGCCCGAUACUGACGCUGAGGGACGAAAGCUAGGGGAGCGAAAGGG